rnacentral:rRNA from 1 species
UGGGCCCUACGGGGGGCAGCAGUGGGGAAUAUUGCACAAUGGGGGAAACCCUGAUACAGCGACGCCGCGUGAGUGAAGAAGUAUUUCGGUAUGUAAAGCUCUAUCAGCAGGGAAGAAAAAAGACGGUACCUGACUAAGAAGCCCCGGCUAACUACGUGCCAGCAGCCGCGGUAAUACGUAGGGGGCAAGCGUUAUCCGGAUUUACUGGGUGUAAAGGGAGCGCAGACGGCUGUGCAAGUCUGGGGUGAAAGGCGGGGGCCCAACCCCCGGACUGCUCUGGAAACUGUAAAGCUGGAGUGCAGGAG